UACGAAGGGGGCUAGCGUUGUUCGGAAUCACUGGGCGUAAAGCGUACGUAGGCGGAUUGUUAAGUCAGGGGUGAAAUCCCGGAGCUCAACUUCGGAACUGCCUUUGAUACAGCACGUCUUGAGUCCGAUAGAGGUGGGUGGAAUUCCUAGUGUAGAGGUGAAAUGCGUAGAUAUCUGGAGGAACACCGGUGGCGAAGGCGGCAUCCUGGACCAACACUGACGCUGAGUGAGCGAAAGCCAGGGGAGCAAACGGG
rnacentral:rRNA from 1 species